ACCUGCAUCACUUCAUCAUGACCUACUCAAUCAUGAAGGACUGCUCAUUCACAUGCACUACAUUACUGUACUCUGCUUUUCUUCUUUGUUUCACUCUCAUCCUGUAAGCUCCAUUGCCAGACCACCAUCUUCUUUUGAUCAUAUACUUGGACAAGAGAAUGGGUGUGUUGCUCCUCCUGAUAACAACAAUCUGCACGGCGACAUCCCGCUAUCGAUCGGACUGCACUGAUGUGCUCUUCGAGCUUGCUCCCUGCCUUGACUAUGUGACUGAUGCUUCAACCUGUCCAUCCUUGGACUGCUGCAAGCAGUUAACCAAUGUGAUCAAGACUCAGCCUCUCUGCCUUUGUGCUGUCUUCGAUGGAACAGCAUCGAAGCUGCUUGGAGUCCCCAUUGACACCGACCGUGCCAUCAACCUCCCUGAAGCGUGCCAAGAAGAAGAAGAAGAGUUACCUCAGGCCUUACCAACUUCAGUAGCUCUAAGAAAUCAUAUCCCUGCCGUGCCACCACCUGCUGGAAUUCCUUGAGGUAGGAAAAGCAGGGAGAAAUGAUCCCAUUGCUAGUAUGUCUGAUGAAGCUUUGUAAGAGUUUGUAAGCAAUUUGAAGUUUGCACGAAAAUUCAAAGGUCACAGUCAUAAUCCAAAUCCCACAUUUAUGCUGUUUGGCAAUUCUUGCAGAAGAUGGUGAAAGAGGAUUACUUGGAGAGAAACAUCCUAAGCUACUAAAAUCUCAAGCUACCUGCUUAUUUCUCAGAGACCUUCUCACUUGCAGUGCUCGGACAAUUAGAACCUCCUUAUUAGCUUCUGAAUGCAGUUGUCUGGUUGUGCUCUGUUGUCAUAUCUCUUCAUGUUAGUUGUUUGUCCACUCUCUGUUCAUAUCAGUUUGGAAGGGUUUUGAUGCAUCAGAUUCA